rnacentral:tRNA from 1 species
GGAGGCGUGCCAGAGUGGCCGAAUGGGGCUCCCUGCUAAGGAGUUGCCUGUUUAACGACGGGCCGGAGGUUCGAAUCCUCUCGCCUCCGCCA